ensembl:lncRNA
GUAACGGUCGCCUCUAAGGGGCGAUAUAGGGUUUUUAAUUGUAAGGUCGCAGUGAGGUCAAUCCACAAAAGACACCCGUGGUCUAAAGCUGCCAUGAAUAAGCCAAAACUCCCAGGGGCUUGGCUUUUGGAGGGAUCAAUGCUCUAAUCCACUGAAACUUAGAAGAGUGACCCUGGUUGGUCUUUUGGCACCAAGCGGGCGGAGAGAGCCGGACUCGCUGGCUGGCAGCCAAUUUGCUUCAUAGAUGAAGAGCGGAUGGGUGCCAAGGAGCUGGCUGCUGCUGUUGUCGGAGACGUGUUUCAUGUAGGCUCCAAAAUGCACCGUUUCUCUACGCCGCCGAGCAGCAAAAAGAUACAUUACCGACUUUGAAGUCCGGAAAAAAAUAGAAAAACCCUGUCAUCAUUCAGCUUGACCUAGGUGCUGAGACAUCACAUUUCUCUACUGUGACGCCAAUUAGCGAACCCAGAUGGUUCACUCAAAACAGUGCGGGUAAUUACUCGGUGCUGCCAUCUUGACGCUGCAUGUUCAACGGUCAACGGGGAGUCUCUUGUUGUCUGAGGGAACCUCACACCCCAAUCGAGGCCGGCUUAAAAAACGGAUCCCCCAGCGUGUGUGGAAAGUUCCAAUUAUAACCGACUAUGCUAGCUUUUUAGUCAAGAACUGCAUGGAUGGAGGUGGUGGGUGGGUGGUCCUGUGGAUACCAGAGGAGAAUGACAAAGGGGGUCAUCACUGGCUCAGCCAAUUACCCCAAAAAAAGAGUCAGAGGGUGGAAAGAAAGAAUCCAUCAAACACACAAUUAUGGAGGACAUGGGACUGCCGACGGACAGCCUUGUGUCAGGCUGGGUGAGAUGCACCCACGCUCCGCAGUUGUACAGAAGGACGACUACAAUGCAGGAUGGUUCAGCCCCCGUCUGGCUGUUAAGAUGCAUAGUGAAACGGGGUCAGGGUGGAGGAGUGGCCGGUUUCUGACGGCGUUUAGUAAACGCUAAUGAUUCUGAUCCCUUAGAUUAGGAAUGCGACUCAAAUGUAUUUAUUUGUGGUGACUGAUUGAUGCAAUAUCAUUGUUGUAAAGUGUGAUACUCGUGAUUUAAAAAUAUAAAACACCGCCUUUUUGUAAACCCGAGCAGUUCAGAGUGCAAGCCUUAAGAACGGAGAGUUGCAUAUGAGAGCGUUUCACUUGUACAUUAUUGAAGCUUUGUUGUUCUGAAAUGUUUGCAGGUGAUCUCUCGGUCGAGAGGGGGCACGCCAUGUCAAGCCUUUAGAAGUACAGGUAUCCACCAGAAAUAGAAUGAAAGAAAUAACAAGAGAGAUAGAAUGCAGGACUUAAUAGCCAUCACAACACAAGCGCAGUGAGGGUUCUCUUUGCUCCUUCAGCAUUCAUUUUAAGUGUGGGAUAAACUGGAGGAUAUGCUUGAGGGGACUAUGAGGGAGGGGCUUGAAAAAAGGGGGAAGGGCUUGAGGCAAAAGGGAG